GACGAACGCUGGCGGCGUGCUUAACACAUGCAAGUCGAGCGGAAAGGCCCUUUCGGGGGUGCUCGAGUGGCGAACGGGUGAGUAACACGUGGGUGAUCUGCCCUGCACUUUGGGAUAAGCCGUGGGAAACUGGGUCUAAUACCGGAUAUUCCUUGCUGGUUGCAUGGCUGGGUGGGGGAAAGCUUUUGCGGUGUGGGAUGGGCCCGCGGCCUAUCAGCUUGUUGGUGGGGUGAUGGCUUACCAAGGCGACGACGGGUAGCCGGCCUGAGAGGGUGUCCGGCCACACUGGGACUGAGA
rnacentral:rRNA from 1 species